UGGGGGAUAGGUUAAUGGUAGACCAGCAGACUCUGACUCUGCUUGUGAGGGUUCGACUCCUUCUCCCCCAA
rnacentral:tRNA from 1 species